rnacentral:rRNA from 1 species
AUUGAACGCUGGCGGCAGGCUUAACACAUGCAAGUCGAGCGGAGAUGAGGUGCUUGCACCUUAUCUUAGCGGCGGACGGGUGAGUAAUGCUUAGGAAUCUGCCUAUUAGUGGGGGACAACAUUCCGAAAGGAAUGCUAAUACCGCAUACGUCCUACGGGAGAAAGCAGGGGAUCUUCGGACCUUGCGCUAAUAGAUGAGCCUAAGUCGGAUUAGCUAGUUGGUGGGGUAAAGGCCUACCAAGGCGACGAUCUGUAGCGGGUCUGAGAGGAUGCACCGCCACACUGGGACUGAGACACGGCCCAGAAUCCUACGGGAGGCAGCAGUGGGGAAUAUUGGACAAUGGGGGGAACCCUGAUCCAGCCAUGCCGCGUGUGUGAAGAAGGCCUUAUGGUUGUAAAGCACUUUAAGCGAGGAGGAGGCUACUGAGACUAAUACUCUUGGAUAGUGGACGUUACUCGCAGAAUAAGCACCGGCUAACUCUGUGCCAGCCGCCGCGGUAAAAC